GACGAACGCUGGCGGCGUGCUUAACACAUGCAAGUCGAACGGAAAGGCCCUGCUUUUGUGGGGUGCUCGAGUGGCGAACGGGUGAGUAACACGUGAGUAACCUGCCCGUGACUUUGGGAUAACUUCAGGAAACUGGGGCUAAUACCGGAUAGGAGCUCCUGCUGAAUGGUGGGGGUUGGAAAGUUUCGGCGGUUGGGGAUGGACUCGCGGCUUAUCAGCUUGGUGGUGGGGUAGUGGCUUACCAAGGCUUUGACGGGUAGCCGGCAUGAGAGGGUCACCGGCGACAUUGGGACUGAGAUACGGCCCAGACUCCUACGGGAGGCAGCAGUGGGGAAUAUUGUACAAUGGGCGGAAGCCUGAGGAAGAAACGCCGCGUGCGGGAUGAAGGCCUUCGCGUUGUGAACCGCUUUCGCCUGUGACGAAGCGUGAGUGACGGUAAUGGGUAAAGAAGCACCGGCUAACUACGUG
rnacentral:rRNA from 1 species